AACGGAGACAAGUAACUUGAGUCUGAGAUUGUAUGUGAUAUUUAA
rnacentral:guide_RNA from 1 species